CUGUAUGAGAGUUAUAUAAAGUCUGGCCUGCCCAUUGGGAACUAAAAGGCCGCGGUAUUGUGACCGUGCGAAGGUAGCAUAAUCAUUAGUCUUUUAAUUGGAGGCUGGAAUGAAUGGCUGGACGAGAAGUAAGCUGUCUUUAUCUCAGAAGUUGAAUUUAACUUUUAAGUGAAAAGGCUUAAAUGAAUUAGAGGGACGAUAAGACCCUAUAAAGUUUAAACACUGAGUUAGUUAAGAGUGAUUUAGAGUAGUAAGGUUUAUUAUUAGUUAGGUGUUUGGUUGGGGCGACUAGAAUAUAAGUUAUAUAACUGUUUUUUAUUUGAAUCAGAGAUAUCUGUUCACAUGAUCCCUUUUUAGGAUUAAAGAGUAAAUUACUUUAGGGAUAACAGCGUAAUUUUUUUUGAGAGUUCUUAUCGACAAAAGAGUUUGCGACCUCGAUGUUGAAUUAAAAUUUCUUUGUGGCGUAGCAGUUACAAAAGAAGGUCUGUUCGACCU
rnacentral:rRNA from 1 species